rnacentral:rRNA from 1 species
GCCAGAACACAGGUGCUGCAUGGCUGUCGUCAGCUCGUGUCGUGAGAUGUUGGGUUAAGUCCCGCAACGAGCGCAACCCUUGUCAUUAGUUGCCAUCAUUUAGUUGGGCACUCUAAUGAGACUGCCGGUGACAAACCGGAGGAAGGUGGGGAUGACGUCAAGUCCUCAUGGCCCUUAUGGGUAGGGCUUCACACGUCAUACAAUGGUCGGUACAGAGGGUUGCCAAGCCGCGAGGUGGAGCCAAUCCCUUAAAGCCGAUCGUAGUCCGGAUCGUAGUCUGCAACUCGACUACGUGAAGUCGGAAUCGCUAGUAAUCGCAGAUCAGCACGCCGCGGUGAAUACGUUCCCGGGCCUU